AAAAAAUGGCCAUCCCACAGUUCCCAAGUUUCUAUCUUCUCUGUUCAAAAGAGUACGUAUGCAUGGAAGCUAAGAUCAUGGGAUCCAGAGACAGACUGGGUUACCAUAAAGCCUGGAAUCAAUCACAGAAAGACUCUAACCUCAAGAAGUCUAGCAGAAUGACCUCCCUUAUGAAGAUGAAGACAAUAGCCAAGUGUCAACAUGCCAUCCUUGAGGGAAUCAGAAGAAACCAGAGCAGUUGUGAUCAUGGAGUAUCCCCAAACUGAUGUUCUCUUGCAG